GAUGAACGCUGGCGGCGUGCCUAAUACAUGCAAGUCGAGCGAACAGACGAGGAGCUUGCUCCUCUGACGUUAGCGGCGGACGGGUGAGUAACACGUGGAUAACCUACCUAUAAGACUGGGAUAACUUCGGGAAACCGGAGCUAAUACCGGAUAACAUGUUGAACCGCAUGGUUCAACAGUGAAAGACGGUCUUGCUGUCACUUAUAGAUGGAUCCGCGCCGCAUUAGCUAGUUGGUAAGGUAACGGCUUACCAAGGCAACGAUGCGUAGCCGACCUGAGAGGGUGAUCGGCCACACGAGAACUGAGACACGGUCCAGACUCCUACGGGAGGCAGCAGUAGGGAAUCUUCCGCAAUGGGCGAAAGCCUGACGGAGCAACGCCGCGUGAGUGAAGAAGGUCUUCGGAUCGUAAAACUCUGUUAUUAGGGAAGAACAAAUGUGUAAGUAACUAUGCACGUCUUGACGGUACCUAAUCAGAAAGCCACGGCUAACUACGUG
rnacentral:rRNA from 1 species